GCUGCUAUUUUCAUUAUAGAUAGAUACAUAUAAUGUGAGCAGGAUCUCCCUGUUACACCCCCAAACAAUUUGGUGAUAAAAUAUCACAUAAAAUAAUGUGUACACAAUCAGACAAUUCGGCCUGGAUCCCGACACUGACUUCCCUUUGUUGAAUUUACGACUUGGUUCUGAAACUGUCGGUUUUGAUGGCCAAGUUUUGUGGCACCCACACACCUGGAGUCGACUUGGUCAUUGAACUGCCCUUCGGAUAGUCCUUGCCUUGGCU